CUUAUAAAACCAUCAGAUCUCAUGAAAGCUCACUAUCAUGAGAAUAGCAUGAGGGAAACUGCCCCCAUGAUUCAAUUACCUACCACAACACCUGGGAAUUAUGAGGAUUAAAAUUCAAGAUGAGACUUGGGUGGGGAUACAUCCAAACCAUAUCAAUCCAUAUAUGGCUGAAAUUUACAUCAGACAAUGGUAAAUAUCUAUGUUCAAAGUCCAUUGAUGCUUUGAGAUUCUGAGCUAUUUUCUGGUAUGGAAAACAGACUUAGCAUCUCCAUCUCCAUUGGAUGUAUGCUGCCUCCUGUGAUGAUCAAGGAAUGCAAUGGUUCUCCCAAGUCCACAGUGCACAUUUGCCUUAAAGUGCCUGCUGCAAUUUUCUGGUCGUCGGCUCCAACCCUGGCUAAGCCAACACAAAGUGUCUCCUCGGUAACUGCUAUUAAAAAAAAAAGAUACUGCUAUUCAAUUCAGCAAAUGCAUCAUCCAUCCAACAGUCAAACAAACAUUAGUACCACAAGUACAUUUCAAGAAGCCCCAAAUAUCUUAAAUCUCUUUUGCCACUUAUGGACCAGUUAUCCAUUAAUUCAUCCAAGGGAUUUUCUAAAUCAUUUGUAUUACCUAAUAUAAAAGAGUACUUCCAAACUUUACCCUUUCAGAAUUACAAAGGCUUACACUAAGCUUUUAGGACUUGACAAGCUAUACUUACACUCUACAAUUGCACAGCAUUCGUUUUUAAAUAAGUUCUGAGUAAACAAUGUUUAUUACACACAGGUUUUUAAUAACUUGCUUGAGAUAAUGUUCAUAUUGACCUAGAUAUACUGAAGAAACCAUGAGAUUAUGAAAUAAAUUCACAGAUUUGAGUUUCUGCCUUGCCAUCCAAUUAGCUGUGUGAUAAACUUCAGUUUUCUCAUUUUUUAAAAUGUAAUACUCCCUCUUUUAAAUCAUGGUAAUGAGAGCUAAGAUAGUAGAUAUGAGACUAGUAGACUAUAGAUUCCUUAACAAAUAAUGAGCAUUUGGCACUAUUUAUGUUUUUCAGUUAAAAACAGCCAGCCUUAGCUUUAGUAUUAUUCACUCUGGUGCUACAGCUAAAGAGCUGACCCUUUAAUGGUUGUAUUGUUUAGUUGGGAAAGGGGUCUUGAUUGAACAAUGAUCAAAAGGGGGCAAAUGGUUUAUCCAAGGACAAACAGGAAUGCAGGAAACUUCUGUACAAAGUUAUGGAUAUAGAACAUCCUUGCAGACUAUUUGUUUCACGACUUUAACAUGGCCUACCAAUGAGAAUAAAAUAAGCAACAAUCACUCAAGAAUCUCUUGACUGGGUGCGGUGACUCGCACCUGUAAUCCCAGCAUUUUGGGAGGCUGAGGCAGGCGGAUCGCUUGAGCUCAGGAGUUUGAGACCAGCUGGGCAACAUGGUGAAACCCCAUCUCCACCAAAAAUACAAAAAAAUUAGCUGGGUGUGGUGGCAUGCACCUGUAGUCCCAGCUACUCAAGUGGCUAAGGUGAGAGGGUGGCUUGAGCCCGGGAGGCAGAGGUUGCAGUGAGCCAUGAUUGCACCACUGCACUCUAACUUGGGCAACAAAGCAAGACCCCAUCUCAAAAAAAAAAAAAAAGUCUCACAGUGGGCCAGGCGUGGUGGUUCACACCUGUAAUCCCAACACUUUGGGAGGCUUUGGGAGGCUGAGGUGGGAGGAUUGCUUGAGCCAAGGAAUUCGAGAAAAGCCUGGGCAACAUGGUGAAACCCUGUCUCUACCAAAAACACACAAAGAAAUUAGCUGGGCAUGGUGGCAUGCACUUGUAGUUCAGCUAAGGUGGGAGGAUCACUUGAGCCCAGGAGGUGGAGGCUGCAAUGAGCUGAGAUAGUGCCUCUGCACUCCAGCCUGCGUGACAAAGUGAGACCCUCUCUC
rnacentral:lncRNA from 1 species